rnacentral:rRNA from 1 species
GACGAACGCUGGCGGCGUGCCUAAUACAUGCAAGUGGGACGCAAGAGAACACACUGUGCUUGCACACCGUGUUUUCUUGAGUCGCGAACGGGUGAGUAACGCGUAGGUAACCUGCCUAUUAGCGGGGGAUAACUAUUGGAAACGAUAGCUAAUACCGCAUAAUAUUAAUUAUUGCAUGAUAAUUGAUUGAAAGAUGCAAGCGCAUCACUAGUAGAUGGACCUGCGUUGUAUUAGCUAGUUGGUAAGGUAAGAGCUUACCAAGGCGACGAUACAUAGCCGACCUGAGAGGGUGGUCGGCCACACUGGGACUGAGACACGGCCCAGACUCCUACGGGAGGCAGCAGUAGGGAAUCUUCGGCAAUGGACGAAAGUCUGACCGAGCAACGCCGCGUGAGUGAAGAAGGUUUUCGGAUCGUAAAGCUCUGUUGUAAGUCAAGAACGUGUGUGAGAGUGGAAAGUUCACACAGUGACGGAGCUACCAGAAAGGAC